CGAGGAGCCGCGCGAAUGCGACGGCCGUGCGAGAGGCAGGCGCGUCGUGCGGCCGCGUGCCCGCUGGCACCGCACGCUCGUUCGCUCGCUCGCUCGCUUUUCCGCUACUUCUCUCCUUCUUUCCGCUACCUCCGUCCCCUUCUCUCUCUCUUUCGCGCGCUCUUCUCACGUUCUUUCUCUCGGCUUUGGGAUUCUAUUAGCGCCGUUAUCGUGCGAAUUGCACAACGCGACGGACGCGACAGAUCCGUCGCUCGUGCGCACUCGACGGAUUCCCACAUCCGACGAUCGGAACCGCGUCACGAGUAUACUUUGUCCCGAACACUUUGCCGGGUUCGACGGUUCACUUGGUCGGUGCGUAGCUCGUUAUCGGCUUAUCGUCGUGUCGAUGCGACGAGCAACCCCGUCGAGCAGCAGCGAUCGACCGUAAGCCGAGUAGUAGUCCGUCGAGGCCGUCGGUCGACUCGCGCGAAUAGUGCACAUUUCUGCAAAAUCCGUCAUGAAGUGUUACAGUCUCAAUUCGAGGACUAUCUGCCGUAUUUGGGCGGCGCGGCCGGUGCCCUCGUCGUCACCGGGGUUGCGGCUUACUGGGCUUCCAGACCGGCGGCUGAGAGACCGCUGUUCCCGCUCGACGCUCAGGCACUUCUGUUACCGGGCGCCGAGCUCAUCCGGGUGUCGAGGUUCUACAAGGAGGGCAAGGAGGGCAAGUUCGUUAGCUUCCUUCACGAGGACACGCUCACGCUCUACGACGGCUUCCGCCGCGGCGCCAAGGAGUCCAAUAAUGGUCCCUGCCUCGGGUGGAGGGAAGGGCCCAACAAACCCUAUCAAUGGCUUCAUUACAACGAGACGCUGCUCAGGGCGAAGAAUUUUGGUUCCGGCCUAGUGUCCUUAGGGCUGGCCCCUGGCACGCAAACCCUCGUAGGCCUGUACAGUCAGAACUGUCCCGAGUGGAUUCUCACCGAGCAAGCAUGCUACACGUAUUCUCUCGUGGUGGUGCCAUUGUACGACACCUUGGGUCCGGACGCCUGCGCGUACAUCAUCAACCAGGCUGACAUCAACUUGGUGGUGUGCGAGGACGACCAAAAGUGCAAUUUACUCCUCGACAAAGCGCCGAGGUGUUUACGGAAGCUGGUGGUCGUGAAGGAAACGCGGCCGGCGACGAACCAGCGGGCGAAGAACCGCGGCGUCGAGCUGUACAAGUUCGAUGACAUCGAGCGGCUGGGCGCGCAGAAGAAUUACCCGGAGCUGCCGCCGAAAGCGUCGGACCUCUGCACCGUAUGCUACACCUCCGGCACCACCGGCAACCCGAAGGGCGUCAUGCUGACGCACCAGAAUGUCAUGGCGGCCAUGUGCGCGGUGCUAAUGCAGCUGGGCGAUCAUAAGGUCACGUCCAAGGACACCAUGGUCAGCUUCCUGCCGUUGGCGCACAUGCUGGAGCGCAGCUGCGAGAACGCCAUGUACAUGGUCGGCGGCUCCGUCGGCUUCUACAGCGGCGACAUCAAGAGGCUCGCCGAGGACAUGAAGGCCCUCAGGCCCACCGUGAUGCCGGCUGUGCCUAGACUGCUAAACCGGAUAUACGAUAAGGUGCAAGCCGAGCUGCAGAGCUCGUUCCUGAAGAGGAUGAUCUUCAACAUGGGCGUGCGGGCGAAGGAGACGGAGAUCAAGAAGAGCAUAGUGAGAAAGAACAGCAUCUGGGAUAAGAUCGUGUUCAAGAAGAUCCAGGAGUCGAUGGGCGGCAGGCUGAGGCUGAUGCUCGUGGGCUCCGCGCCGCUGGCGGGCAGCGUGCUCACGUUCACCAGAUGCGCCAUGGGCUGCCUCGUGGUCGAGGGUUAUGGUCAAACGGAGUGCUGCGCGCCAAUAACACUUACUAUUCAGGGCGAUCAUGUGCCGGAACACGUGGGCCCACCAGUGGCCUGUUGCUGCGUGAAACUCGUCGACGUUCCGGAGAUGGAGUAUUUUGCCGUGAACAACCAGGGCGAAGUGUGCGUCAAGGGCACUAACGUCUUCGUGGGCUACUACAAGGACCCCGAGAAGACCGCUGAGGUCAUUGACGAGCAGGGAUGGCAUCAUACAGGAGAUAUCGGCGCGUGGCAGCUUAAUGGAACGUUGAAAAUAAUCGACCGUAAGAAGCAUAUCUUCAAGUUAUCGCAAGGGGAGUACAUCGUGCCGGAGAAAAUCGAGAAUAUUUAUAUACGCAGCCAAUAUGUGCAACAAGUAUUCGUCCAUGGGGAAUCACUGAAAUCUUGUAUCAUAGCAAUAGUGAUACCAGACGUAGACGUUAUCAAGUGCUGGGCGUUGGAGAACGGUAUCCCCGGUACGUUGAGCGUCUUGUGCGCCAACCCAGAAGUCAAAAGACUAAUUUUGGACGACAUGUUAGCCUGGGGAAAAGAAGCUGGUCUCAAAUCCUUCGAACAGGUAAAAGACAUCUAUCUUCAUCCAGACCCGUUCUCCGUACAAAAUGGUCUUCUAACACCAACGCUAAAAACGAAACGGCCUCAAUUAAAAGCGUACUUCAAGCCGCAGAUAGAAGAUCUCUAUCAACAUUUGGACUGACCAGACUGACAGUUAUCGAUCGCCCGCACCAGCACUGACCGAAACGACGAUCAAGAAAGAAGGAAAGCGCCUUCUCGCCGUCACUUCUCCUCCUCUCUCUAUCUCUUCUUUUCUUUGUUCUUUCCCUCCCCCUCUUAUCUGUCUCCCUUUCUUCUCUCUCUCUUUCACAAACAUACACACACACCGAAGUCACUACUGUCAUCGAAUGUUCGUUAACCCUCGAUACUUUUAUUAUAUAUAUCAUUUUCCACAGGUACAUUAGGGACGCAGACAAAAAGAAGCACCGUUUAGGCUAUUAAGUGAUAGAUGUGUAUUUACGAGUCGUCGACCUUUCACCCGCGUGUAAUCUUAAUGUACACGGUGACCGCUGUUGUCCCCUGCGUAAGACACGAUUGUAGAAUGCAUUUUUAGUUGAUAGAAUCCACCGCCGAACUCGCGAUCACGCUCGCUCGGCUCGGUCAAUGUAACAAUGACACAAGUAGCCGUUAACUCGAACAUGAAGAGGUAAGGAUUUCACGUGCUCGUCAGUCGGCACGCCACACAAAUCAUGGAUAUUGUUUAAUAAAUAUAUUUCUCGCUGUGUGUGUGUAUACACACUCUAUGGUUCGGAGUACCUUCAGAACGCAGAAGGCGAUAUAUCGACCGAUCGAACUUCCGGAUAUCCGCUUAUGUAACAACUGUGUAUGCGUGUACCGAAGGACUUUUCCGAUCUUUUCUCGCAACGUUCGAAACAAUCUUCAGGCAGCGGCGCUCGGAAUAAAUCGCAUUUGGUAA